rnacentral:rRNA from 1 species
GACGAACGCGGGCGACGUGCUUAACACAUGCAAGUCGAACGGAAAGGCCCUGCUUUUGUGGGGUGCUCGAGUGGCGAACGGGUGAGUAACACGUGAGUAACCUGCCCUUGACUUUGGGAUAACUUCAGGAAACUGGGGCUAAUACCGGAUAGGAGCUCCUGCUGCAUGGUGGGGGUUGGAAAGUUUCGGCGGUUGGGGAUGGACUCGCGGCUUAUCAGCUUGUUGGUGGGGUAGUGGCUUACCAAGGCUUUGACGGGUAGCCGGCCUGAGAGGGUGACCGGCCACAUUGGGACUGAGAUACGGCCCAGACUCCUACGGGAGGCAGCAGUGGGGAAUAUUGCACAAUGGGCGGAAGCCUGAUGCAGCAACGCCGCGUGCGGGAUGACGGCCUUCGGGUUGUAAACCGCUUUCGCCUGUGACGAAGCGUGAGUGACGGUAAUGGGUAAAGAAGCACCGGCUAACUACGUG